rnacentral:lncRNA from 1 species
AUUGUUUUGGCAUAUCUCUCUGAUUUUGCUUGUGAUGUUCCCCGUUUUAGCCGAAAGUUCUCUCCCUCUCAAAUGGGUUUCCCCUGCUUCCUUGGGACGAGAGAAGAUUCUGUCCUUCACUUUUCCAACUAUAGAUUUUUCGUUUCCACUCCGGGGGAACUGUAAUAGCAAUGUUUUUGUUGGUUCUUCGAUUGCAGACUGUGUUGGGAUUCAUCUUAAAGACAUGAAUACAAGUUUUAUUCUCUUAUGCUUGUGGUGGUGGUGGUUUUGUGGUUUUUGCGCUUUGCGGAUAGUGGAGGCUCAUAUCCAUUGCUUUUUUCCUCUCUGACCAAACAAAUGGUCGACCCUCAACUGUUGAUUUCUUCUUUGCUGUGAUCACGAGGACGAUUCUACUAUUGAACAUGGGUCUGAUCGGCGUUGCACCCUUCGUUUUGGAUGGCUUUUAAGCUCUUGGUUGUAAGUCGAUAUCCUAUUGUUCUGGCAGGGAGAUCAUAAGUGAUGGUUUUUUUAGACCUAGUUUAAGAUUGGAUGAAAGUGUCCAUACCAAGUUUUUUUCUACAGUAUUUUUUCAUAAAAUUUAUAGUUCUCAUUUAAAAAAAAAAAAAACAAAAACCUUCAUCAUCCUUGUUACUGUUGUGUGUUGAUGAGCAUGAAUAAUUUCUCACAAAAAUAUGAAACAAUAAAACAAAUCAAAACCCUGUUAAUGUUUUGACAAACAAACAUCCAACAUUGACGAAAUCCAAAAGCUUACAUAAUAGAAUCACAUGCUUCAAUGACACACAUACAUGACAACUCCAUUAACAUCGUCCACAUAAAUUAAAUCAUUACUAACAAAUACUUGGAUACAUUAAUUUCUAUCAAAUUAGGUCAUCACUCAAAGCUCAUAUUGGUAGGACCUGCAAAACCAGGAUAAAAAGAAACAUGAUGUUCAUGAUUGUCUAAUUACUAACAAAAAAUACAGAUGAUUAUAUAAAUACAUAUAUUCCCAUUUCCCAUUGGCAGACAUGGCAAACCCAGUAAGUUAAAUAACCUGGGCCACAGUUGGACUGCAAUAGAGGAUGAGACUCCUUUCGUCUGCCAUUUCGUAACAAGAUCAUUGGCAUGUUUCUAAUUUUGACUCCUUCCUCAUUGGAUUCAUCUUUCAAGUUUUUAUUUAUUUAUAUAUUUAUUUUCUUGGAGGGUCCCCUUAUUCAUAUCCUUCGAAAAUGACAGGGAGACCAGCUUCAGCUCCUCACCCACCGGGACCUCACCAUGCAUACUGUUUGCUAGCUAGACUCCCUACUACAUCAGGUUAUGUAUAUAUAUAUAAUAUGCCAUCUCCCAUGCAUGCAUGCU